rnacentral:tRNA from 1 species
UCAUUAGGUGACUGAAAGCAAGUAAUGGCCUCUUAAGCCACUUUAUAGUAAUAGCACCUACUUCUAAUGAA